CAGAAAUGAUCUUAGCAACUACUGACAACUUACCUAUCUUACAUGGUAAUUUUUUUUUUCCCCUCCGUGCUAAUGUUUAGGCAACACUGGCAAGGUACGCUCAAAAGCGGGCGCGCUGCUCUUGAACUCUAAGGUGGUUUUCCGGCUGGCCCCUGACACGGGGCAGUCCCGCACCCCUACCUGGCCUGCGAGCACGCAGAGCGCUCACGACGCCCUCCGCCGCCUCCCUCCCCGUCACGUGACGCCGAUGACGUCAGCCCCCGCUGGGUCGCGUGACCCACGGCCACCCUCUCCGGCGCCCCACCCCCUCGCCACCCGCGCGGGACCUCUCGCGAGAACCCCCCCCUUCUUACUCUCAGAACUUGCCGGGGCUGCGAGGGGAGUUGCUCGGGAGAAGGGAGGGAGGUGUGGCCGAGCGGCGGACUCUCCGCUUUCGUUACGUUAGGGUUCAUGGCCGGGGGAGACGGCGGGAGAGGAGGGCGAGGAGGUGACAGUCAGACCCGAAGUGAAACGUGGCGCCCUCGCCCCUAGCGGAGGGGCAGCAGGGCUGGGCAGGGCUGCCGAGCCCCCCGGGCCGUCCUCGCGAGCCGGGGGACGCUGGACCCGGGUCCCCGCGGAGCAGUACGCGCGAACCGCGCCCAGAUGCGGCGCUUGCAUCCCGGCCCCGUGGCCGGAUGGCCGGCGUAGAAGCAUCCCGGGUGCGGGAGCUGCGAGUAGCCCAUCCCGCGCCCAUCCUUUCCCCGUCCCUUCGUGGGUCACUGCGCCCUCCCGGUCCCGUCCCCUGAGCGCGCUCCCCCGCGGCUCCGCACACCCUCGGCCCCUCCGGCCGCCUCCCUAGACGGCUGCGGGAGAGCAGCCCGGGAGGGACGCGGCUGGAGUCGCUAGAGGGAGGUGUGGGGCCGGCGAGGAGGGGGCUUCGCGGGGCGGGGGAGAGGCGGGAGGAGGCGCCGGGGAGGAGCCGCCAGCUUCGCCCGAGCCGAGCGCACUCCGUUGCCGCGCGGGUUCCCAGCCUUGCGGGGCCCCGUGGGGAGCGCGGGUCAGCAGCGCCGCCUCCUCCCGCAGGAGCAGCGGGCCGGGGGCGUUCGCUCUCAGCCGCCGCCGCCCCGGGCCCUGCGCUGCGCUCUCCGUGCAGCCUCGCUGUCCGCUGCAGCCCACCGUGCCGGGUCCCCGGGCUCCAUCUGGAGCGCACAGCCCCGCGGUCGCGGCGGGAGGAGGAGGAGGAGGAGGGAGGAGGAGAAGGAGGAGGGAUCGCGGCGCGGGCUGGUCUGGCCACCUCGCCCCGCGCCCCGCCCCUGCGCGCACUCCCUCGCCGGAGAGCUACUUUCGGACCAGGAAAGUGAGGGCGGCCCCGGGUGACAGCGCGGCGGCGCCAGUCCCGGGAAGCCGCGUCUGUUCGCGUGUCGCCCGUCGCGCUCCCAGCGGCGCACUGUCCGGACCCGGCCAUGGCUUCUACCACCACCUGCACCCGGUUCACCGACGAGUAUCAGCUCUUCGAGGAGCUGGGAAAGGGGGCAUUCUCAGUGGUGAGAAGAUGUAUGAAAAUCCCCACUGGACAAGAGUAUGCUGCCAAAAUCAUCAACACCAAAAAGCUUUCUGCUAGGGAUCACCAGAAACUGGAAAGGGAAGCUAGAAUCUGCCGUCUCUUGAAGCACCCCAAUAUUGGUAAGGAAAUAUUUUCAACUUAUUUAAACAAUAUAAGUUAUGUUCUGUAUGAAAUGACAGUAAAAAU
rnacentral:lncRNA from 1 species